rnacentral:rRNA from 1 species
CUGAUUAUGGCUCAGAACGAACGCUGGCGGCAGGCUUAACACAUGCAAGUUGAGCGGGAUUGUUGAGUAGCUUGCUAUUUAACAUGAGAGCAGCGCACUGGUGAGUAACACGUGGGAACAUACCUUUUGGUGGGGGACAACAGUUGGAAACGACUGCUAAUACCGCAUAAGCCCUAAGGGGGAAAGAUUUAUUGCCGAAAGAUUGGCCCGCGGAAGAUUAGGUAGUAGGUGGGGUAACGGCCUACCUAGCCGACGAUCUAUAGCUGGUCUGAGAGGACGAUCAGCCACAUUGGAACUGAGACACGGUCCAGACUCCUACGGGAGGCAGCAGUGAGGAAUAUUGGGCAAUGGAGGGAACUCUGACCCAGCCAUGCCGCGUGAGUGAAGAAGGUUUUCGGAUUGUAAAACUCUUUCAGAUGGGAAGAUGAUGACGGUACCAUCAGAAGAAGCACCGGCUAACUUCGUGCCAGCAGCAGC